GCACUCCGCCCGUCCCAGGCCAGCAUCAGUUCGCGCCGGGGGACAAAGGCGGCGGGAACGUGGCUCCCCAGGGAGUGUUAUAGCCCGCCGCGCCAUGCCCCGGGGGCGGACUGAGGGCCGCGCAUCACUGCAAGGAUGCUGGCGUAAUGGUCACCAGCGACCCGUCUUGAAACACGGGCCAAGGAGUCGUCCUCGUAUGCGAGUGUUCGGGUGUCAAACCCCUACGCGGAAUGAAAGUGAACGUGGGUGAGAGCUUCGGCGCAUCAUCGACCGAUCCUGAUGUUCUCGGAUGGAUUUGAGUAGGAGCAUACGGGGCCGGACCCGAAAGAAGGUGAACUAUGCCUGUGUAGGGUGAAGCCAGAGGAAACUCUGGUGGAGGCUCGCAGCGGUUCUGACGUGCAAAUCGAUCGUCAAACAUGGGCAUGGGGGCGAAAGACUAAUCGAACCUUCUAGUAGCUGGUUUCCGCCGAAGUUUCCCUCAGGAAAU
rnacentral:rRNA from 1 species